rnacentral:sRNA from 2 species
ACAAGUUUCAUAUUGUCCCAAACUUGACUGAGCUGGACUCCAGGCAUUUUUUCCAUAAUUAUAUACUCAGCUCCUACUGAGUUCGUAGCACGAGAAUCCCAAGAAUACACUAUCGGGGUGGGUGUUCCAAUAGCUACUUCGCUCGCUGUGGUAAGGUGAGAGAUGCCAGCAUUCGGGUUGGGUACCUUGGCAAUGACCUCUUGCCCAUUAUCCAUCGCUAGAACAAAACUCUUAUUAUACAUGCCAUCAGGGCACUUUUCAACGGCAACACAAACUUUUGCCCCUACCGACUCAGCAGCAAUACGGGCGAGCUCAUUCAUGUUAAACCUGAUGUGACGGCUAGCAAUCUGGUCUGCUUCGUCUAGUACGAAACGACCACGGGUAAACGAGAAUAAAUCGUCGGGGGCAUUCCAAUCUAGAAAGGAUAAAUGAUUAGCUGGGAAUGAAAGGUGGAAAUUAAAAAAGUUAGAAACUGCAAUCAGACCUGUAUCCGUUGGGACCAUUGCUGCUGUUGAUGCUUCCCUAUAAUAGGUUUGGUGACAGGUGGAAACGAAGGCUGAAGGGGUCAUCGACAGGAGAGCUCGUGUAAACUGACAAGCUCUUUGCAAGUUUGGGAGCUUUGACAACAAUGCCAUUAUAUAUAUGAUAACGAGCGCUAUUUGACGCCUCAAGGAUUGUUAAGGGAAGUACAGGAACGGGUAGGCAAUAGAUAUUUUAUGGCUCGGGGCCUAUUAGACCAUAAUCUCUUCGAAGAGGCUAAAGAAGGGCUUACAAGAGUAAAGAAGGAAAUAAUUAGUUAGAACACAUGCGAAAAAUAGUGAGGAAAUGAAGGCCUGGAAUAAUAUAUGGCCGUAUGAUGAUUAAAUAUACAAAUUUCUAGAUUGUUCCAUCGACACUUUGACCCCAAUGACCUCACAUAAUCUAACACGACACUUGUUCUCCUAUGGCAAGCCUAGAAAGACUUUGGAAAGCAAAAACAAGAUCAACUAUAAGUGAUCGGAAAGCUGCUAGAAUUAGAUCACAUUCUUUCAACAUAGAAAACUUUGAUUUUCUCUGAACCAUGGCUUGAGCCUCUCCUUCGGAGCCCAUUUAUACCCAAAACAGAGAUCAUUUAUCUGUCCACAGUCCCGCUCCAUCACGCUGCGCCACAUGCCGCUUUGUACGCGUUUGCAUGGCUGAGUACCGGU